GGCAAACGUAUGACUGGUGUUUCUUUGCAACAGCCUCUAAUCACCCUCUCUCCUGGGUAAAUUGCCCUAGAACAGGUUUUGCCUGGCAUUCUGCAGAAGCAUUGCUGUAUCUUACCAGACAGGAAUACAGGCAAUGCUGUGAAGCGUCAGAGGGAAUUCCGUUGGUUACUUUCCCAUACGGUCUUGUUCAGCUGCUUGUUCUCAGAAAAGUGUGUUUGUUGGUGGAGGAGAAUGCGACCAAGGAGACCAUCCUUUUCAUGAAGGCACAAACGUGAAUACAUAUGUGACUUUUAAGCCUUUAAAUAAAAACCCAA
rnacentral:lncRNA from 1 species